AACGCACCUUGCGCCACGUGGUAUUCCACGGGGCACGCCUGUUUGAGUGUCACGUUAACCAUCGUGCCAUGGAUGUAACAGUCUAUGGGGCGGAUUUGGACGCUUGCCGUUUCAUUACGGCUCGUCUCGAAAUGCAUUAGCAGUCUAACGACCGCGCCGCUGGUGUGAUAAUUUUCUUUGUGCCUUGGGUGCGGACGAGAGGACGGCAUAUAAUCGCCUGCAAGGGCAACACAUUUAAGCUUUGACCUCAAAUCAGGUGGGACUACCCGCUGAACUUAA
rnacentral:misc_RNA from 1 species